rnacentral:ncRNA from 1 species
GCACGUGCCUUUAAGAGAGGAGCCUGUAUUAGGAAACUUUUACAGUGUAGAGGGUGAAUUCAGGGAAACCUCAGCGCGUAAUGGCGGUGGCAAUCCUGAGCCAAGCUUCACAAGCGUGUGAAGAAGGUGCAGAGACUAGAUGAUGCAAUGCGAACUCAUUGCGUAAAACAUCACUAGCGCCCUCCACCCAAACAGUUAUGGCUGUGGGUGAUGAUAUAGUCCAGACUACAAACACCGAAUGGUGGCA